UGACCGUACCGCAAACCGACACUGGUGCGCGAGAUGAGUAUUCUAAGGCGCUUGAGAGAACUCAGGAGAAGGAACUCGGCAAAUUGACACCGUAACUUCGGAAGAAGGUGUGCCUUUAGUAGGUGAAGGGAUUUACUCCUGGAGCCCAAUGAGGUUGCAAAAAAUCGGUGGCUGCGACUGUUUAUUAAAAACACAGCACUCUGCAAACACGAAAGUGGACGUAUAGGGUGUGACGCCUGCCCGGUGCUGGAAGAUUAAAUGAUGGGGUGCAAGCUCUUGAUUGAAGUCCCAGUAAACGGCGGCCGUAACAAUAACGGUCCUAAGGUAGCGAAAUUCCUUGUCGGGUAAGUUCCGACCUGCACGAAUGGCGUAACGAUGGCCACACUGUCUCCUCCUGAGACUCAGCGAAGUUGAAAUGUUUGUGAUGAUGCAAUCUCCCCGCGGAAAGACGGAAAGACCCCAUGAACCUUUACUGUAGCUUUGUAUUGGACUUUGAACAGAUCUGUGUAGGAUAGGUGGGAGGUUUUGAAGCAGGGUCGCUAGAUCUUGUGGAGCCAACGUUGAAAUACCACCCUGGUGUGUUUGAGGUUCUAACCUAGGUCCAUUAUCUGGAUCGGGGACAGUGCAUGGUAGGCAGUUUGACUGGGGCGGUCUCCUCCCAAAGCGUAACGGAGGAGUUCGAAGGUACGCUAGUUACGGUCGGACAUCGUGACGAUAGUGCAAUGGCAUAAGCGUGCUUAACUGCGAGACUGACAAGUCGAGCAGAUGCGAAAGCAGGACAUAGUGAUCCGGUGGUUCUGUAUGGAAGGGCCAUCGCUCAACGGAUAAAAGGUACUCUGGGGAUAACAGGCUGAUACCGCCCAAGAGUUCAUAUCGACGGCGGUGUUUGGCACCUCGAUGUCGGCUCGUCUCAUCCUGGGGCCGUAGCCGGUCCCAAGGGUAUGGCUGUUCGCCAUUUAAAGAGGUACGUGAGCUGGGUUUAAAACGUCGUGAGACAGUUUGGUCCCUAUCUUCCGUGGGCGCUGCAGAUUUGAGGAAGCCUGCUCCUAGUACGAGAGGACCGGAGUGGACACACCUCUGGUGUAUCGGUUGUCACGCCAGUGGCAUUGCCGAGUAGCUAAGUGUGGAAGAGAUAACCGCUGAAAGCAUCUAAGCGGGAAACUCGUUUCAAGAUGAGAUCUGCCGGGGCCUUGAGCCCCCUAAAGAGUCGUUCAAGACCAGGACGUUGAUAGGCAGGGUGUGGAAGCGCAGUAAUGCGUUAAGCUAACCUGUACUAAUUGCUCGUGCGGCUUGAU
rnacentral:rRNA from 1 species